rnacentral:rRNA from 1 species
UACGUAGGUGGCAAGCGUUAUCCGGAUUUAUUGGGUGUAAAGGGCGUGUAGGCGGGAGCGCAAGUCAGAUGUGAAAACUCAGGGCUCAACCCUGAGCCUGCAUUUGAAACUGUGUUUCUUGAGUGCUGGAGAGGCAAUCGGAAUUCCGUGUGUAGCGGUGAAAUGCGUAGAUAUACGGAGGAACACCAGUGGCGAAGGCGGAUUGCUGGACAGUAACUGACGCUGUGGCGCGAAAGCGUGGGGAGCAAACAGG